UAGAGUCAGAGGUGGGUAGCCUUCAAUCACUAGAGAAAGAGGUAAUACCAGAGGACAGUCCAGAAGCAGAAAAUGGUAAUGAUGAACACAAAGAGGAGGCAAUACCUUUCACAGAAGCCGAUCUUGAGCCAGUGGAUGCUUCCAAAACCAAACAUGUUCAAGAACCAGAAGUAUUACAAGCACCCACAUUAGAAUCAGAGGUGGGUAGCCUUCCAUCAAUUGAAAAAGAGGUAAAAUCAGAGGAUACACCAGAAGCAGAAACCGUUACAGAUGAACCCAGGGAGGAGACAAAACCUCCCAUUACAGUCAACUCUUUUGAGCCAGAGGAUGCUUCCAAAACCGAACAUGUUCAAGAACCAGAAGUAUUAGAGGUUGUUCAAGUGGCUACAUUAGAUUCAGAGGAGGAAGGCAAUCUUGAAAAAACAAAACCUCCCAUUACAGUCAAUUUUGAUGCUUCCAAAACUGAACAUGUUCGUGAACCAGAAGUAUUAGAGGCUGUUCCAUCAGCCACAUCAGAGUCAGAGGUGGGUAGCCUUCCAUCAAUUGAAAAAGAGGUCAAAUCAGAGGAUACACCAGAAGCAGAAACCGUUACAGAUGAACCCAGGGAAGAGACAAAACCUCCCAUUACAGUCAAUUUUGAUGCUUCCAAAACAGAACAUGUUCAAGAACCAGAAGUAUUAGAAGCUGUUCAAGCAGCCACAUUAGAUUCAGCAGAGGGCAGUGUUCAAUCACUUGAAAAAGAGAUAAUAUCAGUAGAAGUUCCCGGAGCAAAAACUGUUACAGAUGAACCCAAAGAGAAGACUAUACCUCUCACUGAAGCCGAUCUUGAGCCAGAGAAUGCUUUCAAAACAGUUGGAGAACCAGAAGUAGUACAAGCAGCCACAUCAGAUUCAGAGGCACGUAGCCUUCUAUCAAUUAAAAAAGAGGUAAAAUCAGAGGCUACACCAGCAGUGGAAACAGUUACAGAAGAGCCCAAAAAGGAAGCUGAUGUUAAGAUAGAAGAAAAACUAGUAGUAGUAGACACUGCCAAAACCAAACAUGUUCAAGAACCAGAAGUAUUACAAGCUGCCACAUCAGAUUCAGAGGUGGGUAGCCUUCUAUCGCUUGAAAAAGAGGUGAAAUCAGAGGACAGUCCAGAAGAAGAAAAUGGUAAAGAUGAACCCAAAGGAGAAGCAAUACCUCUCACUGAAGCCGAUCUUGAGCCAGUGGAUGCUUCCAAAACAGAACAUGUUCAAAAACCAGAAGUAUUAAAGGUUGUUCAAGUGGCUACAUUAGAUUCAGAGGCGGAAGCCAAUCUUGAAAAAACUGAACAUGUUCGAGAACCAGAAGUAAUACAAGCACCCACAUCAGAGUCAGAGGUGGGUAGCCUUCUAUCGCUUGAAAAAGAGGUAAAAUCAGAGGAUACAAUAGAAGCAGAAACCGUUACAGAUGAACCCAGGGAGGAGACAAAACCUCCCAUUACAGUCAAUUGUGAUGCUUCCAAAACAGAACAUGUUCAAGAACCAGAAGUAUUAGAAGCUGUUCAAGCAGCCACAUUAGAUUCAGCAGAGGGCAGUGUUCAAUCACUUGAAAAAGAGAUAAUAUCAGAAGAAGUUCCCGGAACAAAAACUGUUACAGUUGAACCCAAAGAGAAAACAAUACCUCUCACUGAAGCCGAUCUUGAGCAAGAGAAUGCUUUCAAAACAGUUGGAGAACCAGACGUAUUACAAGCUAUACAAUCACCCACGUCAGAUUCAGAGGCAGGUAGCCUUCUAUCAAUUGAAAAAGAGGUAAAAUCAGAGGAUACACCAGCAGUGGAAACAGUUACAGGAGAGCCCAAAAAGGAAACUAAAGUUGAGUCAGAAGAAAAACUACAUUUUCAAGAGCAAGAAGUAUUCCCAUUGGAUGUAAAAGACAUUGAAACUGAAACCA
ensembl:lncRNA